CAUUAUCCUUUUAUCAGGGAGUGACGCCGGUACUCUGGGUUUUUUGAUCAGGGUACUAGCUCAUCUCUUUCUGAUUCCACCCAUGUUUUUUGCGUACUACUUGUUUCCUUGGUGGGCUUGCCUGCCGAUAGGACAUGAAAAACCUUUUGUAAUUGCAGUCAGCGUCAGUACAAUGUAAUUAUUACAACUUUCAACAACGGAUCUCUUGGUUCUGGCAUCGAUGAAGAACGCAGCGAAAUGCGAUAAGUAGUGUGAAUUGCAGAAUUCAGUGAAUCAUCGAAUCUNUGAACGCACAUNGCGCCCCUUGGUAUUCCAUGGGNGCAUGCCUGUNCGAGCGUCANUNGUNCCCUNNAGCAUUGCUUGGUGUUGNGUGUAUGUAUCCNUUGNNAAACUCNCCUC
rnacentral:misc_RNA from 1 species